rnacentral:misc_RNA from 1 species
GAUGAAGAACGUAGCGAAAUGCGAUAAGUAAUGUGAAUUGCAGAAUUCAGUGAAUCAUCGAAUCUUUGAACGCACAUUGCGCCCGCCAGUAUUCUAGCGGGCAUGCCUGUUCGAGCGUCAUUUCAACCCUCAAGCACUGCUUGGUGUUGGGGACCGGCUUGCCUUCAGCGCCUGCCGCCCCCGAAAUACAGUGGCGGUCUCGCCGCAGCCUCCUCUGCGUAGUAGUUUACAACCUCGCAUACGGAGCGCGGCGCGGCCACGCCGUAAAACCCCCUACUUUCAAAGGUUGACCUCGAAUCAGGUAGGAAUACCCGCUGAACUUAAGCAUAUCAAUAAGCGGAGGA